rnacentral:rRNA from 1 species
UACGUAGGGUGCGAGCGUUACUCGGAAUUACUGGGCGUAAAGCGUGCGCAGGCGGUUUUGUAAGACAGAUGUGAAAUCCCCGGGCUCAACCUGGGAACUGCAUUUGUGACUGCACGGCUGGAGUGCGGCAGAGGGGGAUGGAAUUCCGCGUGUAGCAGUGAAAUGCGUAGAUAUGCGGAGGAACACCGAUGGCGAAGGCAAUCCCCUGGGCCUGCACUGACGCUCAUGCACGAAAGCGUGGGGAGCAAACAGG